GCGCAGCUGAUGCAGCGACGCCGCGUGGGUGAUGAAGGCCUUCGGGUUGUAAAGCCCUGUGGAGGGGGACGAAUAAGUCGGAGCGAACAGCUCUCGAUGAUGACGGUACCCCUUUAGCAAGCACCGGCUAACUCUGUGCCAGCAGCCGCGGUAAGACAGAGGGUGCAAACGUUGUUCGGAAUUACUGGGCGUAAAGCGCGUGUAGGCGGCUUGGCAAGUCGGGUGUGAAAGCCCCGGGCUCAACCUGGGAAGUGCACUCGAAACUGCUUGGCUUGAGUACGGGAGAGGGAAGCGGAAUUCUCGGUGUAGAGGUGAAAUUCGUAGAUAUCGAGAGGAACAUCGGUGGCGAAGGCGGCUCCCUGGACAGCACUGACGCUGA
rnacentral:rRNA from 1 species